UCCAGCUUAUCGCUGGCGGUCUCCUGAGAGUUCCCAACUAAAUGAUGGCAACACAGGACAAGGGUUGCGCUCGUUGCGGGACUUAACCCAACAUCUCACGACGCGAGCUGACGACAGCCAUGCAGCACCUCGACUACUGUCUCUUGCGAGAAGUCUCUGUUUCCAAAGAUUGUCCAUAGCCGUUCGAGCCCAGGUAAGGUUCUUCGCGUUGCGUCGAAUUGAACCACAUGCUCCACCGCUUGUGCGGGCCCCCGUCAAUUCCUUUGAGUUUCAACCUUGCGGUCGUACUCCCCAGGCGGGGUACUUCCUGCGUUAGCUACGGCACGGAUCCCGUGGAAGGAAACCCACACCUAGCGCCCACCGUUUACGGCGUGGACUAC
rnacentral:misc_RNA from 1 species